rnacentral:rRNA from 1 species
AACGAACGCUGGCGGCAGGCCUAACACAUGCAAGUCGAGCGAAGCCUUCGGGCUUAGCGGCGGACGGGUGAGUAACGCGUGGGAACGUGCCCUUUGGUACGGAAUAGCCCCGGGCGACUGGGAGUAAUACCGUAUGUGGUCGAGAGACGAAAGAUUUAUCGCCCAAGGAUCGGCCCGCGUUGGAUUAGCUAGGUGGUAGGGUAAAGGCCUACCAAGGCGACGAUCCGUAACUGGUCUGAGAGGAUGAUCAGUCACACUGGAACUGAGACACGGUCCAGACUCCUACGGGAGGCAGCAGUGGGGAAUAUUGGACAAUGGGCGCAAGCCUGAUCCAGCCAUGCCGCGUGUGCGAAGAAGGUCUUCGGAUUGUAAAGCACUUUAAGUUGGGAGGAAGUUCAGUAAGUUAAUACCUUGUUGAAUUGACGUUACCGACAGAAUAAGCACCGGCUAACUCUGUGCCAGCAGCCGCAGUAAAAC